CCUGCCCCUUGAGAUGUCGCCUGUGUAGAGGCUAUGUCACAUGUGCAUCAUUAGGUGGCCAAGAGGAGAGAGGCUAUGUUUACACAAAGUGUUCUGACCUGUGAAUAUCUGAAUGAUAAGUAGCCAAAAUU